rnacentral:SRP_RNA from 1 species
ACCGGGUAUGGUGGUGUGUGCCUGUAGUCUCCGCUACUCGGGAGGCUGAGGCUGGAGGAUUGCUUGAGUCCAGGAGUUCUGGGCUGUAGUGCGCUAUGCCGAUCCGGUGUCUGCACUAAGUUUGGCAUCAAUAUGGUGACCUCCCAGGAGCAGGGGACCACUAGGUUGCCGAAGGAGCAGUGAACUGGCCCAGGUUGGAAACGGAGCCAGGUCAAAACUCCCAUGCUGAUCAGUAGUGGGAUCAUGCCUGUGAAUAGCCACUGUACUCCAGCCUGGGCAACAUAGUGAGACCCCAUCUCU